GACGAACGCUGGCGGCGUGCUUAACACAUGCAAGUCGAACGGAAAGGCCCUGCUUUUGUGGGGUGCUCGAGUGGCGAACGGGUGAGUAACACGUGAGUAACCUGCCCUUGACUUUGGGAUAACUUCAGGAAACUGGGGCUAAUACCGGAUAGGAGCUCCUGCUGCAUGGUGGGGGUUGGAAAGUUUCGGCGGUUGGGGAUGGACUCGCGGCUUAUCAGCUUGUUGGUGGGGUAGUGGCUUACCAAGGCUUUGACGGGUAGCCGGCCUGAGAGGGUGACCGGCCACAUUGGGACUGAGAUACGGCCCAGACUCCUACGGGAGGCAGCAGUGGGGAAUAUUGCACAAUGGGCGGAAGCCUGAUGCGGCAACGCCGCGUGCGGGAUGACGGCCUUCGGGUUGUAAACCGCUUUCGCCUGUGACGAAGCGUGAGUGACGGUAAUGGGUAAAGAAGCACCGGCUAACAACGUG
rnacentral:rRNA from 1 species